UGAAAGCAGCCGAGAUUCCCUCGAACCUCCAGCGACUGGGGGCGCUGUACUAAUUAAUGCCUGAGGGCCAGUCCGGGCUGCUUCCUUUCGCGGUUUCCACUGGAGGAUUUGGGAAGGGGGUAGUCUGAGACGGCGAGUCCAACCCCAGUAACUGGCCCUUCAGAAACACUGAUGGGUAAAACCAGUCUCCUCGUCUUGGCUUUAUUUCAGUUUAUUAAUUGUGCUGCCUUUAAAAAUAGCAGUGCUUUUAUUUUCACCUUUUUAAAGAAAUCCUUUUAAAAUGUACUUAUUCCCUACGUUCUUAAGGAACACAAUGGUUAAUAAAAUCCUUUGUUGAUGACUGACCAUCAAACACGAUACCUUGGCCAGACCUAAAGUCACAAGGAAUUGCUAAGUUAUGUUUUAUGUGUGUCAUGCAUAUGCAUCAUAGAGUUGGACUAUACUUUCUGAUAAUCUCUACCAUUUUAUAGGUGGUUCCGGAGGCCCCUUCUCCGAUUGAACACAAGGUUCUGCCUUGAAAGAGAACAGAGGUGCGGGCUGCAGAGCACUUCUGGAGGCUGACAUGGCUGUAAAAUGACUCCAUUUCCAGAUGAACCAACUGGGCUCCUGUUUCUCUUGGACAAAGUCUUGAUACAUUCCUUUGUUCUGCCUAAUCCCAUGGACCAAAUACUCAGUCCACAGAGGAAAGCCACGGAUAUGCAUCUAAUUUGCCUGAAUUCUGGAGAUGAAGUCGCAUAAUUCCCCAAAAUACUGGAUGAGAAAAUUGUACAUGGCUCAGGAGAACAAUGUAUUCUUUGACAUUAGCUACGAAAGCUUUCUUAAAACAAAAAUGUAAAUUCUCCUCGCCUCUGAGCUUUUUUCCCCUGUCCCUUUCCUACAAGAGAUCACAUUUUUCUUUUUGUACACACAGUAUUUUUAGAGCACUCUGCUGUUACGAAGCAUUCCACAACCCCUAGUUAACCUAUUUAGAUCUCAGUGUUCUUAUCUGUAUAAUGAGGCUAAUGGUACUAAGCUGUUCUCCCAGGGAUGUUUGAUUAAAUAUGUUUUUUGACAUUUUACAGACCUUGCACA